GGGGAAUCUUGCGCAAUGGGCGAAAGCCUGACGCAGCAACGCCGCGUGGGGGACGAAGGCUCUCGGGUUGUAAACCCCUUUCGACAGGAACGAAAUUGACGGUACCUGGAGAAGAAGCCCCGGCUAACUACGUGCCAGCAGCCGCGGUAAUACGUAGGGGGCGAGCGUUGUCCGGAUUUAUUGGGCGUAAAGAGCUCGUAGGCGGUUACGUAAGUCGGGUGUGAAAGCCCCAGGCUGAACCUGGGGAUGCCACUUGAUACUGCGUUGACUAGAGUCUGGUAGGGGAUCACGGAAUGCCUGGUGUAGCGGUGAAAUGCGCAGAUAUCAGGAGGAACACCGGUGGCGAAGGCGGUGAUCUGGGCCAGUACUGACGCUGAGGAGCGAAAGCGUGGGUAGCAAAC
rnacentral:rRNA from 1 species